UACGUAGGUGGCAAGCGUUAUCCGGAAUUAUUGGGCGUAAAGCGCGCGCAGGCGGUUUCUUAAGUCUGAUGUGAAAGCCCACGGCUCAACCGUGGAGGGUCAUUGGAAACUGGGAGACUUGAGUGCAGAAGAGGAGAGUGGAAUUCCAUGUGUAGCGGUGAAAUGCGUAGAGAUAUGGAGGAACACCAGUGGCGAAGGCGACUUUCUGGUCUGUAACUGACACUGAGGCGCGAAAGCGUGGGGAGCAAACAGG
rnacentral:rRNA from 1 species